CCUACGGGCGGCAGCAGUGAGGAAUAUUGGUCAAUGGCCGGAAGGCUGAACCAGCCAAGCCGCGUGAAGGACGAAGGUGCCAAGCAUUGUAAACUUCUUUUGUCAAGGGACAAAAUCAGGCUCGAGAGCCUGACCGAGGGUACUUGAAGAAAAAGCAUCGGCUAACUACGUGCCAGCAGCCGCGGUAAUACGUAGGGGGCAAGCGUUAUCCGGAUUUACUGGGUGUAAAGGGAGCGUAGACGGCAGUGCAAGUCUGGAGUGAAAGGCGGGGGCUCAACCCCGGCGAGCCGUUGAAACUGUCGGACUAGAGACGGCGAGAAGUACGCGGAAUGCGCGGUGUAGCGGUGAAAGGCAUAGAUAUCGCGCAGAACUCCGAUUGCGAAGGCAGCGUACCGGCGCCGGACUGACGCUGAGGCACGAAAGCGUGGGUAUCGAACAGGAUUAGAUACCCCUGUAGUC
rnacentral:rRNA from 1 species